GCGGCCGCUAUUAAUAACCAGCGGGGCCGCCAGGGCCCGGGGUGGUCUAUAAAGCCAGACCCACCAGCCCUGAGAGGCUCCUUCAGCCCCCGAGACCUUUAGCCCCCCUGUUGUACAGAGAGAAAAAGAAAAGUGCUUCUAUCUCGUGCACAUUCCAAAGAAAGAACCAGCUUCUGAGACUCACAGGAGGUCACCUGUAAGCCCUAGGAAUGUCCCAUCUGAUCCACUCCGCCCUGUUGAGGGGAGUGGUUAGAAGUCAGAGGACAUCCUUUCAUGGCAGCGGUUAAUGUAACCAUCUAGCGCGGAGGUCAAGGGCGGACACUUGGAUGUAGGGCAGACCUGGGUUCAGAGCCUGACCUCGCUACUCACCAGCUCCGUGACCCUGCAGUGCCAUGUUGCUCUGAGCUUGACUCACUUUUACCAUCUGCAAAAUGGGACUCACAGAUAGGAAAACUGAGGCACAAAGAUGCUCGAAGAGCUGCCCAAGGUGGGCAAGCGAGCCCACUGGAGAAUUGGAAUCUCAACCCACGGCUGUCCGGUUCCACAGCUCGUGCCCUCUUUGUUCUGCUGUGUUGCUUGAAAUAAAAUUAGAGUGAGCAAGGUUCGGGUGUCAUGAGACCCCUUUCUACAAAUCCAGGCAUCAGCACUCCUUGUAUUGAGUUAAAGAGAAAGACUUAUAAGAGGGAGUGUAGAACGAAGAACAUUUUAACAGUGAGAGAACAGGAGGUCGGCUCCAAUGAAGUCGCCGUCUCUUUCCCGAAAUACUUGCCUUUCUGAAGACAACGGUACUGCGCAGACAAGAGAUUCUCGUCUAUUCUGAGAGGAGAAUACAGAGAGACAAGUAUCUCAGCAGUGGGCACGCACAGCUUGCUUCCUACAAUUUUGAAUUCGUACCAAUGACCGUCAUCCUUUCACCCAAUAUCCACUGAGCAGCAACUGUAUGCCUGUGAUCAAAUCAAAGGCCCCUGCUCUCGUGGGUUCCAUGGUGGGGAACAGACUGUAAACAAGUAUGUGAAAUACUCAGCAUAUUCAGUCGUAUGAAGCCCGGGCGCCUAGAGCCCCUGCUCUGCAACAAGAGAAGCCACCGCAAUGAGAAGCCUGUGCACUGCAACGAAGAGUAGCCCCCGCUCGCCGCAACUAGAGAAAGCCCGCGCGCAGUAAUGAAGACCCAAUGCAGCCAAAAAUAAAUUAAUUAAUUAAAAAUAAAAACAACAA